GAUGAACGCUGGCGGCGUGCCUAAUACAUGCAAGUCGAGCGAACGGACGAGAAGCUUGCUUCUCUGAUGUUAGCGGCGGACGGGUGAGUAACACGUGGAUAACCUACCUAUAAGACUGGGAUAACUUCGGGAAACCGUAGCUAAUACCGGAUAAUAUUUUGAACCGCAUGGUUCAAAAGUGAAAGACGGUCUUGCUGUCACUUAUAGAUGGAUCCGCGCUGCAUUAGCUAGUUGGUAAGGUAACGGCUUACCAAGGCAACGAUGCAUAACCGACCUGAGAGGGUGAUCGGCCACACUGGAACUGAGACACGGUCCAGACUCCUACGGGAGGCAGCAGUACGGAAUCUUCCGCAAUGGGCGAAAGCCUGACGGAGCAACACCGCGUGAGUGAUGAAGGUCUUCGGAUCGUAAAACUCUGUUAUUAGGGAAGAACAUAUGUGUAAGUAACUGUGCACAUCUUGACGGUAACUAAUCAGAAAGCCACGGCUAACUACGUG
rnacentral:rRNA from 1 species